GGAAUUCUUACACUCAAGGACUAAGCGUGGCAGAGGUGCAGUUGGAUCACGAAUGGAUGAAACUGGUCCAUACCUUGCCCCUUACAAUGAGUCAGAUUCGAGUUGGCCAACAUGCUCUAAUGUUACAGAUAGAAGUGUUGUUCUUGGACCAGAAAAGCCUAAUUCUCUGAAAUCAGACAGCUCUUCCGAAAAGGAGACGGACAAUGAUCGGCGAAAACGGUCGAAAAGAAGUUCACACAAGCAGCAUAGCAAGGACCAUAAGUCUAAACACAAGUCUGAGAAAAAGAGGAGGAAAGAAUCAAAGAAAAGCAAACGCCACAAAUAAGAGCCUCCAGAAUUGUUAGUUGCAGCGCGUUACUCUGGUGGUAAAGGUACCUGAUACUGAAUCUAUGUACAUCAUGAAUAUAGAUUUCUGAAAGUAUGAGAUUAGGGAACUCUUGUUGGGCAGGAUUUCUCCUCUGGAUUUGUUUGGUU
rnacentral:misc_RNA from 1 species